CAUGAUUUAGCCAGUACCCCCAAGCAGAGAGACCUUUAGUUUGGUACCCCGAAACCAGGUGAGCUACCCCGAGACAGCCUAUAUUAAUUUAGGGCUAACCCGUCUCUGUGGCAAAAGAGUGGGAAGAGCUCCGGGUAGAAGUGAAAGACCUACCGAACCUGGUGAUAGCUGGUUGACUGAGAAAUGGAUAGAAGUUCAGCCUCGCACACCCCAAACCAAAAAGUAUUAUCAACAAGAUAUUAAGGGAAACGUGCGAGAGUUAGUUGAAAGGGGUACAGCCCUUUUAACAAAGGAUACAACCUUUACAGGAGGAUAAAGAUCAUAAUGUAUAAGAUAUACUGUUCUAGUGGGCCUGAAAGCAGCCACCUAAACAGAAAGCGUUAAAGCUCGGACAGAAAGAAGUUUAUUAUACUGAUAAAAAAUCUUAUUCCCCUAGCUAUAUCAGACCAACCCAUGCCUCCAUGGAAGAGAUUAUGCUAAAAUGAGUAAUAAGAAGACCAGCUCUUCUCCCAGCACAAGUGUAAACCAGAUCGGACUAACCACUGGAACUUAACGAACCCAACCCCAGAGGGUAGUGUGAUUAACAAAAAACUCAAGAAGACCUCACAUUGAUUGAUCGUUAACCCCACACUGGAGUGCUAUUUUAAGGGAAAGACUAAAAGAAGGGGAAGGAACUCGGCAAACACAAGCCUCGCCUGUUUACCAAAAACAUCGCCUCCUGCAACUAGACUGAGUAUAGGAGGUCCAGCCUGCCCAGUGACUACGGGUUCAACGGCCGCGGUAUCUUGACCGUGCAAAGGUAGCGCAAUCACUUGUCUCUUAAAUAGAGACCUGUAUGAAUGGCUAGACGAGGGCUUAACUGUCUCCCCCCUCCAGUCAGUGAAAUUGAUCUAUCCGUGCAGAAGCGGGUAUAAAUAUACAAGACGAGAAGACCCUUUGGAGCUUAAGGUACAAAAUUCAGCCACGUUAAACAACUCUAUAAGAAGCAAGAACUUAGUGAUAAUGAAAUUUUACCUUCGGUUGGGGCGACCGCGGAGGAAAAACAAGCCUCCGAGUGGACUGGGCCAAAUCCCUGAAGCCAAUAGAGACAUCUAUAAGCCGCAGAACAUCUGACCAAAAAUGAUCCGGCUAAAAGCCGAUCAACGAACCAAGUUACCCAAGGGAUAACAGCGCAAUCCCCUCCCAGAGCCCAUAUCUACGAGGGGGUUUACGACCUCGAUGUUGGAUCAGGACAUCCUAAUGGUGCAGCCGCUAUUAAGGGUUCGUUUGUUCAACGAUUAAAGUCC
rnacentral:rRNA from 1 species